UACAGAGGGUGCAAGCGUUAAUCGGAAUUACUGGGCGUAAAGCGCACGCAGGCGGUUGGUUAAGUCAGAUGUGAAAGCCCCGGGCUCAACCUGGGAAUUGCAUUUGAAACUGGCCAACUAGAGUACGUGAGAGGGGGGUAGAAUUCCAAGUGUAGCGGUGAAAUGCGUAGAGAUUUGGAGGAAUACCAGUGGCGAAGGCGGCCCCCUGGCACGAUACUGACGCUCAGGUGCGAAAGCGUGGGGAGCGAACCGG
rnacentral:rRNA from 1 species